rnacentral:lncRNA from 1 species
CGAUCCUAUGUAUACCAAGCCCCAAGACAAGCAGUUGUGUCAAGUUUAGUGUUGGAUGUUAGCUUUGGUUCCUUCAAACAAUCUCAGCAAGUGUAACAUAGUUGACAGGUUGAUCCACUUUAGUAUCUUUAGUACUAUCUGCAAUCAGUAAGUUCUAGAAUGGUGCUAAUGAGUGGUUAGAUAACAAGAAAAAAUCUAAUAAGUUCAUUUUCCAUUGUUGACUCAAUAAAAACUUAAUGUUUGAAAAUAU